GACGAACGCUGGCGGCGUGCUUAACACAUGCAAGUCGAGCGGAGCGGCGAACGGGUGAGUAACGCGUGAGUAACUGCCCCCCUCUCUGGGAUAACAGUUGGACACGGCUGCUAAUACCGGAUAGUGGGGGAUGACUCGCGUGCUAUCAGCUUGUUGGUGGGGUAGUGGCCUACCAAGGCGACGACGGGUAGCCGGCCUGAGAGGGCGACCGGCCACAAUGUGCUAAGAUACGGACCAAACGCCAACGGGAGGCAGCGGUGGGGAAUAUUGCGCAAUGGGGGAAACCCUGAUGCAGCAACGCCGCGUGCGGAAUGACGGCCUACGGGUUGGAAACCGCUUUCAGCCAUGACGCGGUAGUGGCAGAAGAAGCACCGGCUAACUACGUGCCAGCAGCCGCGGUAAUUC
rnacentral:rRNA from 1 species